AACGAACGCUGGCGGCAGGCUUAACACAUGCAAGUCGAGCGCCCCGCAAGGGGAGCGGCAGACGGGUGAGUAACGCGUGGGAAUCUACCCAUCUCUACGGAAUAACGCCUGGAAACGUGUGCUAAUACCGUAUACGUCCUUCGGGAGAAAGAUUUAGCGGAGAUGGAUGAGCCCGCGUUGGAUUAGCUAGUUGGUGGGGUAAGGGCCUACCAAGGCGACGAUCCAUAGCUGGGCUGAGAGGAUGAUCAGCCACACUGGGACUGAGACACGGCCCAGACUCCUACGGGAGGCAGCAGUGGGGAAUAUUGGACAAUGGGCGCAAGCCUGAUCCAGCCAUGCCGCGUGAGUGAUGAAGGCCCUAGGGUUGUAAAGCUCUUUCACCGGUGAAGAUAAUGACGGUAACCGGAGAAGAAGCCCCGGCUAACUUCGUGCCAGCCGCCGCCGUAAUAC
rnacentral:rRNA from 1 species